rnacentral:piRNA from 1 species
UGCUUCAACGUGAUGUGCAGUUUGAGCUUC